AUAUGGAUAAACCACAGGAGUAAGGAUCCACGUUUAACCUUCCCUACGAAACAACCAACGUCUUCUCUCAACCUCCAAUGGCCAAUCGAACAUCCUACUGACUCCGCCGCGCCGGAGCUCUCAAUCGAAUCCUUAACUAACCUCCCUUAAUUCCUACCUAAACACGAACCAAAUGUGAACCUCUCACGAAUCUUAAGCAAGAGAUCCUAAAUCAGAUCCUCAUGAUGAGGGAAUCAAAACCUUCACGCAUAUGGCUAUGUUUUGUUAGUAAGAAAUCGAUCUGAAGGCAACGGAAUCGACGUGGAUUGAAAGGUUCUUACCUUUCUCCAAAGGCAACGACGAAGAAGGUGAUGAGCAUGAACUCGCGACUUCUUCUGAAACUCUUUUCCUCCUCUGUCUAUGUUGGUUCUACUUCACCUCCUCCCCUGUGCGUAUGCUUGCUCUGUAUGGUUAUGUGUGCGAUGGUGGUUGGAGUCAUUGGGAUUAAGGAGGAUGACGUAACACGGUGAGUUUGGUGUGGUGUUACAAUCCGCGUGCGGAGGUCGUCGCGGUUCGAUGAAGGUGGCGCUCGAGAGUUUGUUGAAGGUGAGGAUUGGAAGAUGCGAUGUUGAUGAAGCGCGGCGGUGAUUGGAGCAAUGUGGGAAUCAUGAAUUCGGUUACGCGGAAAGGUUCGGAGAAGUUGAAGGGAGAAGAAGAAGAAUGGAAGAAACUGGUUCGAAAGUGGAGAGCCAAAAAUUGCCGCGGAUCACAGUAUUUAUAUCAUUUGCAAAAUGGAUUCAGUUGCUUGGUUGCAUUUGUAGCAACUUCGGAAAUUGGUUGCACGUUGUUGUUUAGCAGCUUAAGUUGCUGCGUUUGAUUUCCUGCAUUUUGGCGGCUCUGGCUUACUUGCAGCGUUGGAUUCGAGCUGGUUUGUUUAAGUCGCUUCUGUAGCUCUUGGACUCCACUGCGUUUGGCUUGCACGUAUUUUCCGUUUUGAUAUAUUCAUUGUUGUUUUCCUCUUCGGCUUUGCUGCGCUUUGAAUACUAUUCAUGCCGUUUUUAAUUUCUCUUUUAUGUUGCAGCUAGGCUUGGCUUGUAGCUGCGGUUUGGGAGUGAGCUCAAAUUGCAGCAGCUCACUUGUUUUACAGCUCGUUGAGCUUAUAGCAACUGAUGUUGCUUCUUGGAGGUUUGUUCAUCGUUUGGAAUACGGGUUUUAGGAAGCUCACGCUUGUACCGGCUCUGUUGUAGCAGGCUAACAGAUAAGCCGCGUCGUCGCAUCAGCUUUUUAAUCCAGCUGCAUUUGAGCAGGCGCUACCUUGGUAGCAGCCUUUGGCUUUUUGGUUAAGCUCCUCUUUCAAUUGCCUUUUUCACUUGGAGUUGUAGCAGUCACAGCAGUUAAUUGCCCCAAGGCAUUUUCAUUGUUAACGUUGCAAUUUGACCUUGUGUAAUUUGGAAUCCACUUAUAUUGACAUUUGAGAAUGUAUGGUUUAUGGUUUGGAUUUAUGUGGAUAAAAAUGGGAAUUAGAUA